UAGAUAGAUGCUCGCUGGUUAGAGCACUUAGCUGUUAACUAGGAAAUUGAAGGAUCAAGGCCUUCCUAUCUAG
rnacentral:tRNA from 1 species